rnacentral:rRNA from 1 species
UACGGAGGGGACUAGCGUUGUUCGGAAUUACUGGGCGUAAAGCGUGCGCAGGCGGCUUUGCAAGACAGAUGUGAAAUCCCCGGGCUCAACCUGGGAAUUGCAUUUGUGACUGCACGGCUAGAGUGUGUCAGAGGGGGGUAGAAUUCCACGUGUAGCAGUGAAAUGCGUAGAUAUGUGGAGGAAUACCGAUGGCGAAGGCAGCCCCCUGGGAUAACACUGACGCUCAUGCACGAAAGCGUGGGGAGCAAACAGGG